ensembl:lncRNA novel transcript, antisense to SEPP1
ACGCUCCCGGGUAGGAAAUUGCCCCGGUGGAAUGCCUUGCCAGAGCAGCGCAUAGCAGGCCCCUGCAGAGGAUUAACACGGUGGCUGAACACCGGAAAGAACUGGCACUUGGAGUCGCGACAUCUGAAACUUGCUAUAUGGAGGAAGCAGCAGAGAAGGGCAAAUUUUAAAAAGUGGAAGAAAACUGGUAUGCAUAUUUUCAACCAAGUGAAAACGUCAAGGAGGUUAAAGUAAUCAACUGGGUCAAAUGCUGCUGAGAGGUCAAAUAAGUCCUCAAGAAUAACUGUAGAAUGUGCUGGGAGUGCAACAUCCUAAAAUAAGGAGGAAGUGGCUGAAACAGCCUGGGCUGUAUUCCUGUCUCCAUCUAGCACAAGAUGUCCUUCAACCCUUUAGCCCAGCGUGCAAGUACUACCAGAACGUUUGGGGUCAGAAAUCGGAUAUCUACACUUCCCCGUCUCCCAAAAGAGCUUCCCUCCUUAGGCGUCCGGAGGUCUCUUGGAUUUUUCACUGCUAAUCCCAUCUGUCUUCACUAGACUCACUUCCCACAACUUGCUCCAGGAGGGGCCUAUGUGGACACUGAAGGCGACUGGGGCGGUUCCUCUUCUGAUGUAGUUAGCUCUCAGUUAGCUCACCGCCCAGUUCUCCUUGAUCUCUCCGGGCUGGACCGCCUCGUAAGCAGGAGGAGCAUAGAAGGAGGCGGGCUCCACAAGCUUGAUCUUCUGAAUCCCCUUGUCUCUGUAAACUUCCCCUGGAAGAAGCGAUGCACUGGCGAAGCCAUGUGAGGGGGGCUUUUGGUUCCAGAGAGACAGCCCGAGAGCCCCAGUGGGAACCAUCCGGAGACCCAGAAGAUCGAAUUCGCGGGACGGCGCGUUACCUUCCAACACCGCUGGGCCACCACUCUGAGAACCAGAAUCAGCGGUACUGGGGCUUCCCCACGGGACAGGAGCGCGUUCUUUGGAUUCCCCUGGUGCGGCGUGCACAACCUUCGGACGAAGAGUCCACGCCUGCCACCCAGGAGGAGGCCCAGGCGCAGGCAGGAGUGGCGGCCGCAGCCUCGUCGGAGGAGCCCGGUCACUGCGCUCCGCGGCCGCCACACGCGCCGCGAUCGGCCCUCUUCGAAGACUGGUCGCGGGAACCAGAGAGGUCUGACGAUGGGGACCUCUCGGAGUGUCGUCGCCCUGCUACUGAGCCUUGGCGGCCACCGGGCUCAGCCUGGAGGCUUCCUUGUGCAGCAUAGGCCGCCUGUCCGCCAAGAAGACCGCAGCCUGCCUGGGACGGCCGCCCUGGGCGCUCAGAAGCCAGGAGAUGUCCAACGAGGCCCUUGGGUUCCUGAUCCUCUGCCCAAGAACUGGGUUUCCGUAAUGCCUCUGCUCUGUUCCCAUGCCACUCAGGAGGCUGUGGCUGAGCAGCGCUUCGGACACAUUAUUCUCUUUAGUCUGUUCUCGGAAUAAAAUCCAACGCCAAGGCAAAAGUCUGCA